rnacentral:lncRNA from 1 species
GUGGGGGUGGGGUCAGGCAGACCUUCCUUGACUAAGGAUCCAGACCUGGUAUUUCUGACUCCAACAUCUCCCUUCUUGACCCCCACACUAUAUGGCCCACCCAGAGGACAGGUCAUUCACUGGCUGCCUAAAGGAUUUUGAGUUCUCUAACCUUGCUGUUUCUUCUUGAUACCAGUGUGAUCACAGUGUGCGUUUGUGAGAUGCUGACCUUGGGUGUUCAAUAGAACAGAAUGAACUGACCAGAAACUAAGUAGGCGCAUUAUACGUGACUUGCUUGAGACUGAAGAGAUUUACAUAAAAGAGAUUAAAAGCAUAAUUGAUGGAUAUAUCACUCCAAUGGAUUUUAUUUGGCUAAAGCAUCUAAUUCCAGAUGUUCUUCAGAAUAACAAGGACUUUCUCUUUGGGAAUAUUAGAGAACUUUACGAAUUUCACAACAGGACUUUUCUAAAAGAGUUGGAAAAGUGUGCUGAGAACCCUGAACUUCUGGCACAUUGCUUUCUCAAGAGAAAAGAAGAUCUUCAGAUAUAUUUUAAAUACCAUAAGAAUCUGCCCCGAGCUAGGGCAAUCUGGCAAGAG